AAACUUCUUUAUCACCGAGUGCUUGCACUCACCGAUAAAGAGUUGAGUGGCGAACGGGUGAGUAACACGUGGGCAACCUGCCCAAAAGAGGGGGAUAACACUUGGAAACAGGUGCUAAUACCGCAUAACCAUAGUUACCGCAUGGUAACUAUGUAAAAGGUGGCUAUGCUACCGCUUUUGGAUGGGCCCGCGGCGCAUUAGCUAGUUGGUGAGGUAAAGGCUUACCAAGGCAAUGAUGCGUAGCCGAACUGAGAGGUUGAUCGGCCACAUUGGGACUGAGACACGGCCCAAACUCCUACGGGAGGCAGCAGUAGGGAAUCUUCCACAAUGGGCGAAAGCCUGAUGGAGCAACGCCGCGUGGGUGAAGAAGGUCUUCGGAUCGUAAAACCCUGUUGUUAGAGAAGAAAGUGCGUGAGAGUA
rnacentral:rRNA from 2 species